AGCUCGCUGAAGAGACAGGCCCCGCCGGCAGCGCCUGACUCUGCCUCUGAAUCCACCAGCCCCUCUGAAUAUACCAGCCUCUCCGCCUCUGAAUCUACCAGCCCCUCUGAAUAUACCAGCCUCUCAGCCUCUGAAUCUACCAGCCCCUCUGAAUAUACCAGCCUCUCAGCCUCUGAAUCUACCAGCCCCUCUGAAUUUACUGGCCCCUCAACCUCUGAAUCUACCAGCCCCUCUGAAUAUACCAGCCUCUCAGCCUCUGAAUAUACCAGCCCUUCAUCCUCUGAAUAUACCAGCCCUUCUGAAUAUACCAACCCCUCCUCAGCCUCUGAAUAUAGCAGCCCUUCUGACUAUACCAGCCUCUCAGCCUCUGAAUAUACCAGUCCCUCAACCUCAGCACAUGGAUAUACUUCUGAAUAUACCAGUUCCUUUGCCUCUGGAUAUGCAAGCUCCCCUGCUGCCAGGAAUACAAACACGCCUGAAUAUGCAAGCCCUGGUCUCUCUGGGUAUGCAACCUCUGGAUAUGGGAGCCCUGCUGCCCGUGGAUACAAAAACCGCUCCACAACUGGCAAUGCAAAUGUCUCUGGCUAUGCAGACCCUACAGCAUCUGGCCAUGCAAGCUUCCCUGCCUCUGGAUAUUCUAAGCCUCUGGAUAUGGGAAAUCCACCUGAAUAUGGGAACCGGUCCAGCCUAGACUAUGAAACCCCUACAAAACACACAGGGCUUGUGAGGCUCAGCACUUGUAGUGACCUCAGAAGGUGCAAGGGGGAUUGUAUGUGCUGGAGCGAUAAGAAAAAGCCAUAAAGACCCAAUGGAAUAUACGUGUGACCCUUUAAAGGGCAGGUGUCUUACGGCUUGGCAUUGUGUGUGUGCUUAAACUCGGGUAUGACUCAGACUGCGACCUUCUGAGCAAAUGAAAAAAUAUUUCUCGUGAGCCUGAUUGACAUGUUAAAGGGGACAUUGUCAGGGUUACAAAAGUGAUGCAGUAAAUAAAAGCCACAAAUAUCCUAUAGUUGGGUGCCAGUAAUGCUUAAGUUUAUUAAAACAGAGUUGUAAAACCAUCUAAUUCACUCUCCACCGCAGAUGUGGUUUGCUUUAUUUUCCUGCUCUUCACUCAUCAGGGCAAAUGGAAACAGACUAAGGCCUUGUUGCUGCAGGCAGAUCCUAUGGUGGUGAGGUUGUGCAUGGAUGGAUCUAACUAUUAUCAUUUGUAUCAAGAUACCACAUAGAGGCCCUGACUAAGAUCAGGGCUGCAUUGUGUUGGGUGCUCGCUAGAUGCAUAGUCAGAGACGCACCGUGGCCCACUCUUCCCAUUUUACAGAAGGGAGCUGAAACAGAGAGAUUAAGUGAUUUUCCCAAGGUCACCCAGGAAGACAGUGUCAGAGCCAGGCCUUGAACCUACAUCACCUGAGUCCCAGGUCAACCUCUUAAUCACAAGGUUAGGAUUUGGCUUUAGGAGACCAUCUCUGCAACUUGUUUUGUGCAGGACACCUUUGUGAUGUCAGUGGGACUCCAGAUCUACUGGGACCCCAUAUCAGGGGCUUAGUCAGUUUCACUUGUUUCUAGCCAGUGUCUUGUCAGUUUCACCUCUCUGCCUGCCACCUGCUGUAGGAAAAGGCUGCUGUGUUUGAGUUGCAGGGACUGUUCACGUCCAAGCACAAUAGAAGUUAUACGAAUAAAAAUAAAUUCUAUGUUAAUUUAGGUUUUAGAAAACUUUUUUUUUUUAAACAACCCUCGUAUUUAUGUGAGUGACAGUGAGAUGACAGGGCCUGAUUUACUGAAACCAACUGGCUUCAAUGGACUGUUUUGGUUCAGGUAUGAAAUCACACCUUGCGAUGACCCAAGAACUAAUAACCUGAAUCCGAACCUUCUGGAACCUUUGAGGGUGAGAGGGUUCAAAACUCCCAAUUCCGUGGUUUCUAACCACCACUAAACCACAUAGAGUGAAACUCCUUCGUUCUAGGAGAGGGAUCCUUUAAUCAUGGCCUUAGGAGAGAACUCAAGUGAGGAUGUUCCCUCUUCAAAGCCAUGAGCCUACAAGCAUGUGUGGGACUUUAUUCUUGUGAGUAGUCCCAUUAAAGUCCAUGGGAUUGUCCAUGCAAGUAAAAUCACACACAUGUUUAAGCGUUUGCAGGACUGGGGUCUUUAUUGCAGGAAGUGUUACGGUUCUUAAACAAGUCAAUGAGCGGUUAGACCCUGUAGCGGGGCAGUCACUCCGCUCCGGCUCAGAAAGAGUUCAAAGCCAGCCCUUGGAGUGGGCUGGGGCUGAAAGCAGCCGAGGGAGGCUGAUUGGAUUGGCAGCUGCAGGUGUGGCCACACCCAAUUAGGGUCCAGCUGGCCCUGAUAAAAGGGCUGGGAGCUAGGUAGGGGGAGUCUUAGUCCAGUAGUGGAGUGGGAAGGACCUGGCUAGAGAAGGGUAUCUUGAACAGAGCAGUGCUGGGGAAGGAUAGGCUGAGCUGGGGAACUCUGGCCAGGUGUUCCAGCUGUGACACAGGGCGAGGAGUUGCAGUGACGCCUCACGCCGCCGGGGGAUCAGACAGCUCGGUUUCCGUGGAAGACAAUGGAGUUAUACCAAGCAUGAACCUGGCCUGAUAAACAUAGGAACAACCGAAUGGAUCACUCCCAACGUCCACCUAGUCCAAUCCUGUCUGUGACAGUGGCCAGCCGCAUGGUCAGAGGAAGGUGUAAGAACCUUCCAUUUCUUUAGAUCUUCAGAGCAAGCCUGUCUGCCUGUCUGGAAGAGACGCGUUAGCCAAACCCAAGUUCUUGGGCUCAGUUCUGCGGUGACUGGGUGGAAUUUAAAGGCCUGUGUUAUAUGAUCUGACCUUAAACUCUAUGAAUUAAACUCUGUGCAACCUCUGCAGUAGGCAGAUGGGGGAUUAUCUGUCCCCUACGUAGAUCUCAUGCUGAUUUUUAAUAGGUCUCAGCUUCAGCCCUGGAGCAUGAGAGAUUCCUUCCAGAAUUUGCUGUCAUUAAUUAUGAAAGCUCCGUCUACUCCUGAUACCCACAUAAAUGUCCAAUCCCUGAUACACACUUAAUACAAACCAGUGGAUCAUGUCUAAUGACCACAUACAGCCCCCAUGGCCUGUUUCAAGGACUUAUUCAGAAAUAAGAGAACCCAGGUCUCUUGUCACCCAGUUCAGCGCUCUAUCCACUGCACUGUGCUGCCUCUGAUUUCAUAGCAUACUACGCACACUUUGUAUACGUGUGCAUGCAGAACUGCCACCCCCAAGUGUUCAAAAUGCAUCAG